UACGUAGGGGGCAAGCGUUGUCCGGAAUCAUUGGGCGUAAAGCGCGCGUAGGCGGCCCGGUAAGUCCGUUGUGAAAGUCAAAGGCUCAACCUUUGAACGCCGAUGGAUACUGCCGGGCUAGAGUCCGGAAGAGGCGAGUGGAAUUCCUGGUGUAGCGGUGGAAUGCGUAGAUAUCGGGAGGAACACCAGUGGCGAAGGCGGUUGCCUGGAGCUUUGCUGACGCUGAUGCGCGAAAGCGUGGGGAGCGAUCCGG
rnacentral:rRNA from 1 species